AACGAACACUGGCGGCAUGCCUAACACAUGCAAGUCGAACGAGACCUUCGGGUCAAGUGGCGCACGGGUGCGUAACGCGUGGGAAUCUACCCUUGGGUUCGGAAUAACAGUUAGAAAUGACUGCUAAUACCGGAUGAUGUCUUCGGACCAAAGAUUUAUCGCCCAGGGAUGAGCCCGCGUAGGAUUAGCUUGUUGGUGAGGUAAAAGCUCACCAAGGCGACGAUCCUUAGCUGGUCUGAGAGGAUGAUCAGCCACACUGGGACUGAGACACGGCCCAGACUCCUACGGGAGGCAGCAGUGGGGAAUAUUGGACAAUGGGCGAAAGCCUGAUCCAGCAAUGCCGCGUGAGUGAUGAAGGCCUUAGGGUUGUAAAGCUCUUUUACCCGGGAUGAUAAUGACAGUACCGGGAGAAUAAGCUCCGGCUAACUCCGUGCCAGCCGCCGCCGUAACAC
rnacentral:rRNA from 1 species